UACAGAGGUGGCAAGCGUUGUUCGGAAUUACUGGGCGUAAAGGGCGCGUAGGCGGCCAUCUAAGUCAGACGUGAAAUCCCCCGGCUUAACCUGGGAACUGCGUCUGAUACUGGAAGGCUUGAGUAUGGGAGAGGGAUGUAGAAUUCCAGGUGUAGCGGUGAAAUGCGUAGAUAUCUGGAGGAAUACCGGUGGCGAAGGCGGCAGCCUGGACCAUUACUGACGCUGAGGCGCGAAGGCUAGGGGAGCAAACGGG
rnacentral:rRNA from 1 species